CAGCACUUCACAGUGCAUGUGUAAAUCAAAGAAUUGCAAUGUAGCACUCGAAUGUGGAGUUUAUUUGCUGUGGGGGAGCAGUGUGUGCACACAGGUACUCUCCUUAUGGAGUCAGGAUGGACGAAUGGGAGAAGGAGAUGGGAAGAAAUCAGCAUUCAUUAGGAAACUUCCAGGUGCUGCAUGCGUUUUUCUCACGUGGCCUUUUAGGGAGUGACAAAUGAGACAAUGACUAGAUGCUGUUUGUCGCCAGCGAUCCACAAGAACCAACUGAGCACUUUCUACGUGAUGGGAACUGUGCUGUGAAAGCCAGUGCGGACACGCUAAGGAAGGUGCGUUCCCACAGGACACCUGCAGAUUAAGUCUGUGGGACACAGUGCUGUGUCACUAUGAGGGAAGCCCAGUGGGCUUUGGUGGCACAGAGGAGGGUGUGGACUAACAGGAAAUAUCCCAGAAAGGGAGCGGUCAAGUGAGGGGAGGAGGGGAGGGGAGGAGGGGAGGGUCCGCAUCCAGGUGGGGGCAGCAGACUGCUCCGCGGCCAAGCCCCAGGUGUUAAUUAUUAGUGCCACUAUUAGGCUCUCACUUGCUGUGGUUUGUAGGAUCCACGUUCCAGUCCUCUUUUUGUCACCUGCAGAUGUGUGGCUGGGGUUAAGUGACCCGAUCUUCCUCAGUCUUGUUCUCCACUUCAGAGGGACACUCAUACUCACCUUGGAGAAAUGACAGGGCAAGAGGUGAGUUGAGAGGUGCAGGGACCCAGCACUGACGUUCUCUGACACAGUUCUCUUUGUGGUCUCUUCAGAGAGUCUGGCAUGUGUCAUUUUUCUGGAUUCCAGGUCUUCUUGGACAACCGAUAGCUUCUAUCAACUAACAUUUGCACUGGGCUAUGAGAAGUGGGUGGGUAUUCCAGACAAUCCCUCAAGAACAGCUAAGCAGCAGGCCACACGGGGAAGUCCCCCGAGCCACUAGAGGAGGAGCACACUGUGCGUUCCAGGAGGAUCCUGUGAAGCAAACAUCAAUGUGCAGAGCCCUGCCCUGGAUUCCCAGGCUUUUAACUCAAAUCUGCACCAUACUUUCACCUCAGCUGACUUCUGGACUUUUGUUUAAAAUUCAUACUCUGUACUUGAAACAGAAAAAAGAUGUGAUUUUUUUUUUUGGCUUAAUACUUCUGAAGGUGGUUGGGGGUAGCUGGACUCCAUCUGACUCAAGUUUGAGUCUAGACUUCCCCUCCAACUCCCUUUAGGUUGCUGAGUAAAUUGUAGUAUGUUUGACACAAAAUCAGUAUCUGUCAUGCACUCUUAGGCAAAUGAUAAUUUUCUACUGAAAACUAUUUCCUUAGUGAAGGUAAAUCUUCAACCCCUGUUGACAGAUCCAAUUUUUGCAAAACGCCAGAAAAGUCUGUAACAUGUGGGGAAGCAUAAUUCAGCUUAGCAGAUAUUAUUGAGCAGUUACUACCUGUCAUUUGCUCCUUUGCUCUGAGAGUUGCCUGCUCCCUCCCUCCGCUUCCCUCAGUGUUUAACCCCAAGAGUCAUGUCCAGCCAACUGGAAGCCUAUCAGGAGACCCGAGAGUGGGAAGUACGGACAGCCACUGGUGGGGGCCGCUUAGGUCCCUGUGUCCCCUUUAGUUUGGGGUACUGAGUGUCUGCUGCUGCAGGUUCACACCUAUGGUCUUCUCUGUGGGACUGUGCUGGUGUCAUCUUGCCUGGAGGUGCCCCUUGGUGACACAGCCACCUGGGAACCUUUCCUAAUCACUGACUUGUCUGGGGUGUACAGACCCAUCUCUGUGACCUCAAGCCAGGACACACUGUAAUGCAAUUGCUACUCUGAGGCUCCCUGCAGGACCUGGUUGAUAUUAGAGGUUCCCUGAACCCCACCCUUGUUUGAAUCCCUGUCUUUGCCACUCCUGCUUCCCGGGACAUACUAAUUCCUCUUGUAACAGACUCGCACACAGCUCCCUGCUGUUGCUCUGCUUGGGGGACACCCAGCCUAGCAGCAGGGGAAGGCGAGGUACUUGUUCGCUUCUUGUUCUGCAUCAGGUGGAGUCUGAUGCAGUCGUAUGGCUCCUUUGCCAUUGGGGCUCUUGUCCUGGUAGCUCAAGCCGGGUCUAGCUCCCCUGGUUGUUCUAGUUACUCUGUUCUCCAUGGCUUCAGUUCCCUGAAAUAGGUCUAUCGCCCCUCCUCCGGGCAGCCUGUGUGUGCAGACAUUUGGCCAGACCCAUGAGCAGACCCUCCACAGAAUUUCUGGCUCCUCGGGUAGUGCCAGCCCCUAGCUUGGGAAGGGCAGCCCUGGGGGCGGCAGCUCUCUGUAGUCACUGAGCUCUGAGUUGCCUCACAUUCGGCCUCUGCUUUUCUGACACCUCUGCAAUGAAUUCCUUGUGUUCAAUGCCCCCUGCUGUGCUCUGCACUAUACAUUCUAUGGGCUCAGCUGGAUAUUGGCUGGAACACAGUGGAACCCCAGGCUUGAUCUGGGUGCAGAAGACACAAUGCGUUGCCCUCAGGCCGUUGGUAGGUGUUCAUCUGGCACUUACUGCUGGAGAAAACCCUGCUCUGAUAGGAGGUCCUAUGGCAAGAGCCCAGGGAAGCAGCAUACAGGCCAUCUUGGGUGGCGAGGUAGUGAGGUAAGGAGGGGAACAGUGCCCGGGGAAGUGGCUGGAGCCGAGUGGUGGAGGACAGAGCUGACUUAGGACGGCUCAUGUACAGAUUUUCCUGCUCCGAGCCAACUCUGCUCCUGAAUGGUAGUGGAAAGGUGCUGAUCCCCAUUAUCUCUCCCUCUGUACUCCCUGGUCUUGGCCAGUGAAUGGCCAAGGGAGCUUUCAGUCAUCCUGCACAGGGAGGUGGGGGACACUGACUCCUGGUACUCAACAGCAGCUGGAGACAUACGCAGUGACUUUAGACCAACUGAGCCGUCUUCCUUGCAUGCUGGGGCAUCCCAGCAGGCAUUGCUGCACUGGGAGGGAAAAGGGGCUGCUCCUGCUGAGUACUCUCUGGCCACUGCCUCU
rnacentral:lncRNA from 1 species